UUGCUCCACCGCUUUUGCUUCCUAUUCUCUCUUUCCUUCUUCAUUUUCUUUUUAGUUUUGUACCUCUUCUUUUACAGAACAGAAAACUUGAUAGUUUCCUUUUCCUCGACCGCCGCUCCUCAAAUCCCCCAAACCUAGAACUACCAACAAUAACCACCUACACAGAUGUCGUUUUCAAGUCCCCCGAUGAUACCAUUGAAGUCAACGGCCGUUUUGAAAGUCCCAACCAAUACUCAGAAUACUCAGCUUCAUCAUUCUCGAGAACUCCCUCUUUCAAUUUCAUCUUCGUCCUUGUCAGUCACAAGAAGAUUGUUGUUUGGAGAUCAAUAGAAUUAUUGUAGGGUUUUCUCUCCAGAGAUUCGCCACUUCUUCUCCUCUUCUUUCUUUUCCAUUCUUCCUCUCAUCCCAUCCUCUAAAAUUUCUCAUCUAUUUUCGGUUUGUCCUUUUUUCCAAAACCUUAAUUUUUUUAACCCAAGGGGUGCCCAUGCGUUUGCCAUCAGUUUAGUCUUGAGACUCCAGACACUUCUGCUGCUUUAUCCAUUUCAUUUUUUCCACUCUAAAGCCAUUACAUCACUCAUCAACAUCUACACGUUCCUUCUUCCUUUUUUCCACCCUAAAAUUUUUUUCGUAGCCCUAAAUCACACCUACGACUUGAAGUGAUUUCUACCAAAAUCUUCUCUCAAACCCUCAACUUAUUCCACGUCUUUUGCUCUUAGAAAAAUAUGGUCAAAGAAGCAGCCAGUGAUGGAAUCCUUUGGAUGUAUCUAACAAAAGCAUUUCUAGCUGUGAUUUUACCUAACCAUCAUGGAUCAUUUCAAGUAAUGAUAACAGUGAAGGCUGCGAUUAAGAAACAGGUUAUGAUAGCACUGAAGGUUACGAUUAAGAAAUAGCAAAAAUUGGAAGGAUACAGUGGAUGAAUGGGAGAGAUUGAAUCGACUUGAUCAAGCAUCAGUAGCUAUCAUUGGAAGUGGAGCAGAAAAAUGCUAAAAAGGGUGACCUUCCUGGGAGAAUGCUCUGCACGUGGGAAGCUUCCAAAAUAAGUACAAAUCUGGCUCCACAUUGUGCUACAACGGAGCCCUUUUCUUUUGUUGACUAGGAGUUUACUAGUAUUGAGGAGUUUUACUAGCAUUAGGAAACGAAAAACAAGGAACAUUGGAUAGUUGCUUUACCUUUUGUUUUCUUUUCCUAAUUGGAGGGGAACUAACCGGGGGGGGGGGGGGGGGGGGAGGAGGCUAGUGAUUGUUUGAGAGAAAAACAGCUUUCGUUUUUGUUUCCUCUCCCGUUCUUGCUAUUAGGCCAAUGGAAAAACAGUGUUUAUUCGUGAUUGUAUUAGAGAAAAAACAGAUGCCUUUGAAAUCAAUUAAAUUGCGUGAAAAUUUUCU